rnacentral:piRNA from 2 species
GUUGCUGGGAUUUGAACUCAGGA